GACGAACGCUGGCGGCGUGCUUAACACAUGCAAGUCGAACGGAAAGGCCCUGCUUUUGUGGGGUGCUCGAGUGGCGAACGGGUGAGUAACACGUGAGUAACCUGCCCUUGACUUUGGGAUAACUUCAGGAAACUGGGGCUAAUACCGGAUAGGAGCUCCUGCUGCAUGGUGGGGGUUGGAAAGUUUCGGCGGUUGGGGAUGGACUCGCGGCUUAUCAGCUUGUUGGUGGGGUAGUGGCUUACCAAGGCUUUAACGGGUAGCCGGCCUGAGAGGGUGACCGGCCACAUUGGGACUGAGAUACGGCCCAGACUCCUACGGGAGGCAGCAGUGGGGAUUAUUGCACAAUGGGCGGAAGCCUGAUGCAGCAACGCCGCGUGCGGGAUGACGGCCUUCGGGUUGUAAACCGCUUUCGCCUGCGACGAAGCGUGAGUGACGGUAAUGGGUAAAGAAGCACCGGCUAACUACGUG
rnacentral:rRNA from 1 species